rnacentral:rRNA from 1 species
GUGGGGAAUAUUGGGCAAUGGGCGAAAGCCUGACCCAGCAACGCCGCGUGAAGGAAGAAGGUCUUCGGAUCGUAAACUUCUAUCCUUGGUGAAGAUAAUGACGGUAGCCGAGAAGGAAGCCCCGGCUAACUACGUGCCAGCAGCCGCGGUAAUACGUAGGGGGCAAGCGUUGUCCGGAAUGAUUGGGCGUAAAGGGCGCGUAGGCGGCCUGGUAAGUCUGGAGUGAAAGUCCUGCUUUUAAGGUGGGAAUUGCUUUGGAUACUGUCGGGCGUGAGUGCAGGAGAGGUAAGUGGAAUUCCCGGUGUAGCGGUGAAAUGCGUAGAGAUCGGGAGGAACACCAGUGGCGAAGGCGACUUACUGGACUGUAACUGACGCUGAGGCGCGAAAGUGUGGGGAGCAAACAGGAUUAGAAACCCGAGUAGUCC